rnacentral:snRNA from 1 species
AGAUGUUAGAGCAAUCUGGCUGAACAUCUGUUACCCCAUUGACUGUCAGGUUUGAUUUGGCUGGUCUGGCUAGAAAACUUUCUCCUUUCUCUCUCACAGGUCCAUGUGUAUCCCUCUGGAAGCUGUGUGAUGACCAUAACAGAGGAGGAUGGCGAUUCAGUCAAGGGUUCACAAACAGCUGUGCUCCCUUGCUAGAACCUUCAACCAAGCCCUCAAGGUCCACUUGAAAUAAGAGAACAAUUCUGGACCUAUUGAAUAUGACAAGCAUCAUU